rnacentral:rRNA from 1 species
UACGGAGGGUGCGAGCGUUGUCCGGAAUCACUGGGCGUAAAGGGCGCGUAGGCGGCAGGCCAAGCGUGCGGUGAAAGUCCGGGGCUCAACCCCGGAUCUGCCGUGCGGACUGGUUUGCUAGAGCACUGUAGAGGCGAGUGGAAUUCCGGGUGUAGAGGUGGAAUGCGUAGAGAUCCGGAAGGACACCGGUGGCGAAGGCGGCUCGCUGGGCAGUGGCUGACGCUGAGGCGCGACAGCGUGGGGAGCAAACAGG